rnacentral:rRNA from 1 species
UACGUAGGGACCGAGCGUUGUCCGGAAUCAUUGGGCGUAAAGAGCGUGUAGGCGGCUAUUUAAGUCCUGCGUGAAAUCCUGCGGCUCAACCGCAGACGGUCGUGGGAAACUGGAUGGCUAGAGUGCGGGAGAGGAGAGUGGAAUUCCCGGUGUAGCGGUGAAAUGCGCAGAUAUCGGGAGGAACACCGGUGGCGAAGGCGGUUCUCUGGGCAUUACCUGACGCUGAGGAGCGAAAGCAUGGGGAGCGAACAGG